UACGUAGGGCGCGAGCGUUAAUCGGAAUUACUGGGCGUAAAGCGUGCGUAGGCGGUUCGUUAAGUCUGUUGUGAAAGCCCCGGGCUCAACCUGGGAAUGGCAAUGGAUACUGGCGAGCUAGAGUGUGUCAGAGGAUGGUGGAAUUCCCGGUGUAGCGGUGAAAUGCGUAGAGAUCGGGAGGAACAUCAGUGGCGAAGGCGGCCAUCUGGGACAACACUGACGCUGAGGCACGAAAGCGUGGGGAGCAAACAGG
rnacentral:rRNA from 1 species